rnacentral:rRNA from 1 species
AGUGAACGCUGGCGGUAGGCCUAACACAUGCCAGUCGAACGGCAGCACAGUAAGAGCUUGCUCUUACGGGUGGCGAGUGGCGGACGGGUGAGGAAUACAUCGGAAUCUACUUUUUCGUGGGGGAUAACGUAGGGAAACUUACGCUAAUACCGCAUACGACCUACGGGUGAAAGCAGGGGAUCUUCGGACCUUGCGCGAUUGAAUGAGCCGAUGUCGGAUUAGCUAGUUGGCGGGGUAAAGGCCCACCAAGGCGACGAUCCGUAGCUGGUCUGAGAGGAUGAUCAGCCACACUGGAACUGAGACACGGUCCAGACUCCUACGGGAGGCAGCAGUGGGGAAUAUUGGACAAUGGGCGCAAGCCUGAUCCAGCCAUACCGCGUGGGUGAAGAAGGCCUUCGGGUUGUAAAGCCCUUUUGUUGGGAAAGAAAAGCAGCGGGUUAAUACCCCGCUGUUCUGACGGUACCCAAAGAAUAGGCACCGGCUAACUUCGUG